AUGCCAUGAUGAGGGCAUCUUCUGAGUAGUUCUUUAAAUCUUUCUCAUGCAUCAUACAUGUUUUUAUCUUCAAGUUGAUGGAAAGAUGUGAUCUCAUUCCUCAACUU
rnacentral:snoRNA from 1 species